rnacentral:rRNA from 1 species
CACGUAGGGGCCAAGCGUUGUCCGGAUUCAUUGGGCGUAAAGAGCUCGUAGGCGGUUCAGUCAGUCGGGUGUGAAAUCUCCGGGCUCAACCCGGAGGGGCCACCCGAUACUGCUGUGACUCGAGUCCGGUAGGGGAGUGGGGAAUUCCUGGUGUAGCGGUGAAAUGCGCAGAUAUCAGGAGGAACACCGGUGGCGAAGGCGGGUCUCUGGGCAGUAACUGACGCUGAGGAGCGAAAGCGUGGGGAGCGAACAGG